AUAUUCAGGUUAAUGGGAAUUAAUUGCUCCAUCUUUUCUUGAAACUUCUCGGGAGUGUUUUGUUUUCAACAAAAAAUGUUAGUGUUGUGUUUUCAGUUUUAACGAGGUCUGCUUGAAUCACUAUCAUUGUCGUCUCUAGGUUGCUGAUAGGAUCGGCUCUUUGAGGAGAUUCAUUCAACUUAUAUUGAUCUUAUGAUCAGGUUAUCCUUUGAGCCUACUUUUCAUUUUGUUCAGAACAGUAGUCUAUUAUUUUUUGACUAAUUGAAUAGGAGAAACCUCUUUCUAGAAUCGUUCAUUGGUAAACCUGUAUAGCAAAUAAUAUGCCCAUUAAUGACAAACAAGAAAGGACUAUGCAAAUUGGAACACUAGAGUUCCAUGCA